ACAUGUUUAAUAAAAAUCUAAUCUGUUUAUUUAUUUUAUUUUUUAUUUUGCUUUUCUAGAUUGCCAAUCAUUCCUGUUGAACUACAUUAUUCAUUACAAUGAAUCAGAUGCAGAAUCUUACAACUAUGUUAAUUUGUUCGCCUGAUUGGGGAAAACCUGAGACUAUUUGAUCUUAUAUUGGAAUGCCUACCAAUUUUACAUAGCCUCAGGCAAUGUUUAUAUAAUUAAUCUUGAGUAAUAGAGAUGCUGUACCCCCUGGCGGUGUGACCUUGCUACCUGGAUCAUCCCACUAGGCAAGACAAGUUCAAAACUUUCCAUGCAAACACUUUCAUGGCAGUUAAUUGCUAUAAUAGGAUAUGAAUAUAAUUUUGCCUUGCCAGGGUGGCUUGGGGGGGGAGUAGGAUUUCCCUAGUACCCGGAGACCAUAUAAACAGGCCUUCAGAUUACUGUAAUAGUUUAAUUGAGGUUCAAAAAAGCAGCCCCCCCCCCCCAAUGCAACUAAAAGUGGUAGGCCUGCUCUCCAAAUCCAGCCCCCCUUGGAAGAUGUACUGUAAAGCUAGACAAUUUUACUUGUUAGUUACCCAACUUGGUGCCCUGAUGCACCCUACUUUAUUAUUUUACUCUGUCUAACAGCAGACAAUUUUACUCAUCAAGGGGUGGGCACAUGACUUUAAAGGGAAAGUAUUAAUUGGGAAUACUUUCUCUUUUAAUGGGAAACUCUUUAUCAAUAAAAGGAACAAUGCAAUUAUUCAUAGUAUUUAACUUUUCAUAUAAAGCAGAGACUGUAAGAGGAAACAUGGAUCAUUGGCUACUUUUUUUAUUUAGUAUUAAUUUUCAUGACAACAUGUGGGGUCAACUAUAAAGGAAACAG